CGCGGUCAUAGAUCGGGUUUUGAUGCACAUAAAAUCUUCUUUCUCAUUACUUGUUUGCUCUGAGAUCAAAAGCAUACUAUUUUCAACUCCAUUCUUGCACCAGCUGAAAGCAAAAGAUGGCAACGAUGUGUGACUUGAGAUGACCUCCUGGGUUUUUCAGGACUCUUGGUGGUUC